UACGUAGGGGGCAAGCGUUGUCCGGAAUCAUUGGGCGUAAAGCGCGUGUAGGCGGCUUCGUAAGUCCGUUGUGAAAGUCCAGGGCUCAACCCUGGAAUGCCGAUGGAUACUGCGGAGCUAGAGUCCGGAAGAGGCGAGUGGAAUUCCUGGUGUAGCGGUGAAAUGCGCAGAUAUCAGGAGGAACACCAGUGGCGAAGGCGCUUCGCUGGGA
rnacentral:rRNA from 1 species